GACGAACGCUGGCGGCGUGCUUAACACAUGCCAGUCGAACGGUGAAGCGCCUUCCUUUUUGGUGGGUGUGGAUGAGUGGCGAACGGGUGAGUAACGCGUGAGUAACCUGCCCCCUUCUUCUGGAUAACCGCAUGAAAGUGUGGCUAAUACGGGAUAUUCUGGGUCUGUCGCAUGAUGGGUCUGGGAAAGAUAUUGUUUCGGUGGGGGAUGGGCUCGCGGCCUAUCAGCUUGUUGGUGGGGUGAUGGCCUACCAAGGCGGUGACGGGUAGCCGGCCUGAGAGGGUGGACGGUCACACUGGGACUGAGACACGGCCCAGACUCCUACGGGAGGCAGCAGUGGGGAAUAUUGCACAAUGGGCGCAAGCCUGAUGCAGCGACGCCGCGUGGGGGAUGGAGGCCUUCGGGUUGUGAACCUCUUUCGCCAGUGAAGCAGGCCUGCCUCGUUUGUGGGUGGGUUGACGGUAGCUGGAUAAGAAGCGCCGGCUAACUACGUG
rnacentral:rRNA from 1 species